AUGGAUCUGUACAGGCUGACUGGGUGGAUGGAACUGUACAGGCUGACUGGGUGGAUGGAUCUGUACAGGCUGACUGGGUGGAUGGAACUGUACAGGCUGACUGGGUGGAUGGAACUGUACAGGCUGAUGACUGGGUGGAUGGAACUGUACAGGCUGACUGGGUGGAUGGAACUGUACAGGCUGACUGGGUGGAUGGAACUGUACAGGCUGACUGGGUGGAUGGAACUGUACAGGGUGAUGACAGUGGAUGGAACUGUACAGGCUGAUGACUGGGUGGAUGGAACUGUACAGGCUGAUGACUGGGUGGAUGGAACUGUACAGGCUGAUGACUGGGUGGAUGGAACUGUACAGGGUGAUGACUGGGUGGAUGGAACUGUACAGGGUGAUGACUGGGUGGAUGGAACUGAUGGUCUACCUCUUUCAUUCACUCUACAUGCCACCAAGUCAUUGGGUGGUUCUGACAAACUUGAACUGUGGAAAGACAAAAUAAAGGCUUUAUUCUUAAAUAAAAUGUGUCCUUGUCAAUUACUGUUAUCGCACCAAACUUCUUGAGUAUCCCGUUUUAUCAUUCGUUGAUAAUGAUUCCGUUCCAUGAUUGUAGAAUCGUGAUUAAAUCACAGUUUAGCAGAUGCUAUAGCCAGGGCAGCAGAAAUGCUUGCUACUAGCUCUGAACAGUGCAACAGAAAUGUGUGUUACUAGCUCUGAACAGGGCAGCAGAAAUGCUUGUUACUAGCUCUGAACAGGGCAGCAGAAAUGCUUGUUACUAGCUCUGAACAGGGCAGCAGAAAUGCUUGUUACUAGCUCUGUACAGGGCAGCAGAAAUGCUUGUUACUAGCUCUGAACAGGGCAGCAGAAAUGCUUGUUACUAGCUCUGUACAGGGCAGCAGAAAUGCUUGUUACUAGCUCUGAGCAGGGCAGCAGAAAUGCUUGUUACUAGCUCUGAACAGGGCAGCAGAAAUGCUUGUUACUAGCUCUGUACAGGGCAACAGAAAUGCUUGUUACUAGCUCUGAACAGGGCAGCAGAAAUGCUUGUUACUAGCUCUGUACAGGGCAGCAGAAAUGCUUGUUACUAGCUCUGUACAGGGCAGCAGAAAUGCUUGUUACUAGCUCUGUACAGGGCAGCAGAAAUGCUUGUUACUAGCUCUGAACAGGGCAGCAGAAAUGCUUGUUACUAGCUCUGAACAGGGCAGCAGAAAUGCUUGUUACUAGCUCUGAACAGGGCAACAGAAAUGCUUGUUACUAGCUCUGUACAGGGCAGCAGAAAUGCUUGUUACUAGCUCUGAACAGGGCAUCAGAAAUGCUUGUUACUAGCUCUGAACAGGGCAGCAGAAAUGCUUGUUACUAGCUCUGAACAGGGCAGCAGAAAUGCUUGUUACUAGCUCUGAACAGGGCAGCAGAAAUGCUUGUUACUAGCUCUGAACAGGGCAGCAGAAAUGCUUGUUACUAGCUCUGAACAGGGCAGCAGAAAUGCUUGUUACUAGCUCUGAACAGGGCAACAGAAAUGCUUGUUACUAGCUCUGUACAGGGCAACAGAAAUGCUUGUUACUAGCUCUGAACAGGGCAACAGAAAUGCUUGUUACUAGCUCUGAACAGGGCAACAGAAAUGCUUGUUACUAGCUCUGAACAGGGCAACAGAAAUGCUUGUUACUAGCUCUGUACAGGGCAACAGAAAUGCUUGUUACUAGCUCUGAACAGGGCAACAGAAUGCUUGUUACUAGCUCUGAACAGGGCAACAGAAAUGCUUGUUACUAGCUCUGUACAGGGCAACAGAAAUGCUUGUUACUAGCUCUGUACAGGGCAGCAGAAAUGCUUGCUACUAGCUCUGAACAGGGCAGCAGAAAUGCUUGUUACUAGCUCUGAACAGGGCAGCAGAAAUGCUUGCUACUAGCUCUGAACAGGGCAGCAGAAAUGCUUGCUACUAGCUCUGAACAGGGCAACAGAAAUGCUUGUUACUAGCUCUGUACAGGGCAACAGAAAUGCUUGUUACUAGCUCUGAACAGGGCAGCAGAAAUGCUUGUUACUAGCUCUGUACAGGGCAACAGAAAUGCUUGUUACUAGCUCUGAACAGGGCAGCAGAAAUGCUUGCUACUAGCUCUGUACAGGGCAGCAGAAAUGCUUGUUACUAGCUAAUUGAGAAGUUUGGGAAACCCCUUUCCAUCUACCUGACAAAGGUUAGCCUGUCAUUAGCAUUGCUAACGGCCACACAAGGUGGUAGACACACACACACACACAGACGGGCAUUCCUGUGUCAUUGCCUCUUCAGAUAAUGAUAAACUUGAGCACAUUUUCUAAUAAAUUCAAUAGAUUUAGUUGAUUUCCAAACGUGAGACACAUCUGACAGAACUGAAAGUACAAUCAGUCCUGGACUGUUGUUCAGGUUUUGGUGUACAAAUAUAUACUAAGAGUAUGUACAGCAGUAGAUAUUACAGUGAGCUAUGUUGAGAAUCCAGUGUAUAAAUAAUGUGUAAAAACAUUGCAAUGUACAGUAGUAGAUAUGUUACUAUGAGCUAAGGGAAGAAUACACUACAUGAAUACACAGGGUAGUCAAUUAUGUUUUUUGUAUAUAUUUAUACACUGAGGUUGUAAUAAUGUUGUGAAAUGUAUAAUGCCCUUAGUGUAAGAACUGUUUAAAAUAUAUAGAAUCCAAUAAACUGACAUUUCAGCCUGUUUUGGUGGGAGGGAGUUGUGGCCUUCCUGGUGACAUCACCAUGUGGUAAAUUAGUCAAUCGACCAAUAAAAAAAAGUGUUCCAAACCUCUCUGCCAAUAACAGCACAUGUUCACUUUUCCCCUCCCUACAACCACUCCCAGACAGUCCUAGCAAAAUUCUUGCCUGAGAAAUUACUCUUUGCUAAUUUUUUUACCAAUUUAAUUGAAGGUAGGUACUUAAUUGCUAAUCAGAAAUGAUUUGAUAUUGAGAUAAAGUCUGCAUUGGAUUUGUUUUUUAAAGUGCAGGCAUAGUGUUACCAGAAGUUCAUGCUAGGACUGGCAGGCAUAGUGUUACCAGAAGUUCAUGCUAGGACUGGCAGGCAUAGAGUUACCAGAAGUUCAUGCUAGGACUGGCAGGCAUAGUGUUACCAGAAGUUCAUGCUAGGACUGGCAGGCAUAGUGUUACCAGAAGUUCAUGCUAGGACUGGCAGGCAUAGUGUUACCAGAAGUUCAUGCUAGGACUGGCAGGCAUAGUGUUACCAGAAGUUCAUGCUAGGACUGGCAGGAAACUGCCAGGAAGUGUCGACAUGUCGUCCAAUAAAUACUAGAG
ensembl:lncRNA